UACGGAGGGGGCUAGCGUUGUUCGGAAUUACUGGGCGUAAAGCGCGCGUAGGCGGACCUGCAAGUCGGGGGUGAAAGCCCGAGGCUCAGCCUCGGAACUGCCUUCGAUACUGCGGGUCUCGAGUCCGGGAGAGGUGAGUGGAAUUCCUAGUGUAGAGGUGAAAUUCGUAGAUAUUAGGAAGAACACCAGUGGCGAAGGCGGCUCACUGGCCCGGUACUGACGCUGAGGCGCGAAAGCGUAGGGAGCAAACAGG
rnacentral:rRNA from 1 species